CCAGCCGCCGCGGUAACACCGGCGGCUCGAGUGGUAACCGUUAUUAUUGGGUCUAAAGGGUCUGUAGCCGGCCGGAUAAGUCUCUUGGGAAAUCUGGCAGCUUAACUGUCAGGCUUUCAGGAGAUACUGUCUGGCUCGAGGCCGGGAGAGGUGAGAGGUACUUCAGGGGUAGGGGUGAAAUCUUGUAAUCCUUGAAGGACCACCAGUGGCGAAGGCGUCUCACCAGAACGGACCUGACGGCAAGGGACGAAAGCUAGGGGCACGAACCGGAUUAGAUACCCGGGUAGUCCUAGCCGUAAACGAUACUCGCUAGGUGUCGGCCACGGUGCGACCGUUGUCGGUGCCGUAGGGAAGCCGUGAAGCGAGCCACCUGGGAAGUACGGCCGCAAGGCUGAAACUUAAAGGAAUUGGCGGGGGAGCACCACAACGGGUGGAGCUUGCGGUUUAAUUGGAUUCAACGCCGGAAAUCUUACCGGGACCGACAGCAAUAUGAAGGCCAGGCUGAAGACUUUGCCGGAUUAGCUGAGAGGUGGUGCAUGGCCGUCGUCAGUUCGUACUGUU
rnacentral:rRNA from 1 species